GUUUCUUCGGAAAUGGAUUAGCGGCGAACGGGUGAGGAACACGUGAAGAAUCUGCCCUCCACUUUGGGAUAACACCGGGAAACCGGUGCUAAUACCGAAUAUUGAAACAUAAGUGGCAUCACUGAGUUUUUAAAGAAUUUCGGUGGAGGAUGACUUCGCGGCCUAUCAGCUAGUUGGUGAGGUAAUGGCUCACCAAGGCAACGACGGGUAGCCGGCCUGAGAGGGCGACCGGCCACACUGGGACUGAGACACGGCCCAGACUCCUACGGGAGGCAGCAGUGGGGAAUAUUGGGCAAUGGAGGAAACUCUGACCCAGCGACGCCGCGUGCGGGAUGAAGGCCUUCGGGUUGUAAACCGCUUUCAGUAGGGAAGAAGCGAAAGUGACGGUACCUACAAAAGAAGCACCGGCUAACUAUGUGCCAGCAGCCGCGGUAAUACAUAGGGUGCAAGCGUUGUCCGGAAUUAUUGGGCGUAAAGAGCUCGUAGGUCGUUUGUCACGUCGGACGUGAAAACCUG
rnacentral:rRNA from 1 species